AGAUUGAACGCUGGCGGCAUGCCUUACACAUGCAAGUCGAACGGUAGAGUAGCAAUACUUGAGAGUGGCGAACGGGUGAGUAAUAUAUCGGAACGUGCCCAGUCGUGGGGGAUAACGUAGAGAAAUUUACGCUAAUACCGCAUACGAUCUAAGGAUGAAAGCGGGGGACCGUAAGGCCCCGCGCGAUUGGAGCGGCUGAUAUCAGAUUAGGUUGUUGGUGAGGUAAAAGCUCACCAAGCCGACGAUCUGUAGCUGGUUUGAGAGAACGACCAGCCACACUGGGACUGGACACGACCCGA
rnacentral:rRNA from 1 species